UCAUUGUCCACAGGGCUAACCUUCCGGAAUGUUCUCGUCUCGCUCAUUCUCCCCAUUCCUGUCAGCAGGUAAGAUACACAUUCCCAGCUGGACGUGCACAGUAAAAGACCAGAAAUUCCCCUAACCAAAUCCCAAUCCACCCUCUGCACACUUGGUGUUUUCUGCCUCUGGGCUCUGGUCCAGGCCCCUCCCUCUUAGCGAUGCCCUCCUUCCUUUUCCACAGAAGACUUCAAAGGGCUGGGGAGGACACUUGUUCUUCCUAAGACCCUCCCAAGUUCCCAAAGCCCAUGGAUUUUUUUUUUAAUUCCUUCCACCAUCUAUCCAUCCAUCCUUCCAUUCAAUUAUUCAGCAAACAUUUUUUUUUUUCUUCUGAGUAUCUCUUAUGAACCAGGCAUUUUGUUAGAAUUGGGAGAAGCCAAAAUAAGUCACACCUCCCAUCCUGGAGGGAUUCACAAUCUCAUAGAUUAAAUAAUAGCUACCAUUUAGUUAGUGCAUAUUAUUUACCAGGUGUAACUCAAAAGCAUUUAAAACACUUUGUCACCAAUUAUCUUCACAAUGACACUGCAAGGGAGGUAACAGAAUCCUGGUUUUGCUGAUGAUGAUACAGAGGCUCAGGGGUCAGGUUAUCCAUCCACGGUCACUGGGUACUAAUUAGCAGAUCCAGGAGCUGGGGCGCUCAGUGUCCCUUCUUCUGCCUUCCCUCCCUCCUGUCUUCUCCCCUCCCAGCCCUCCCCACUUCCUCUGAGUUCACAGCAUGUGGCAAGUGACAAAUGACAUUUUC
rnacentral:lncRNA from 1 species